rnacentral:rRNA from 1 species
GACGAACGCUGGCGGCGUGCUUAACACAUGCAAGUCGAACGGAAAGGCCCCUUUGGGGGUACUCGAGUGGCGAACGGGUGCGUAACACGUGAGUAACCUUCCCUUGACUUCGGGAUAACUUCAGGAAACUGGGGCUAAUACCGGAUAGGAAUCCUUGCUGCAUGGUGGGGGUUGGAAAGCUUCGGCGGUUUUGGAUGGACUCGCGGCUUAUCAGCUUGUUGGUGGGGUAGUGGCUUACCAAGGCUUUGACGGGUAGCCGGCCUGCGAGGGCGACCGGCCACAUUAGGCCUGAGAGACGGGCAAGACUCGUAAGGGAGGCAGCAGUGGGGAAUAUUGCACAAUGGGAGGACGCCUGAUGCAGCAAGGCCGCGUGCGUGAUGACGGCCUUCGGGUUGUAAGACGCUUUCAGCAGGGGCGAAGCUUGUGGUGACGGUACCUGAAGAAGAAGCACCGGCUAACUACGUG